rnacentral:rRNA from 1 species
AAGCGAGAUCGAGAGAUGGAGCAAAUCCCAAAAAUAAACGUCCCAGUUCGGACUGUAGUCUGCAACCCGACUACACGAAGCUGGAAUCGCUAGUAAUCGCGGAUCAGAAUGCCGCGGUGAAUACGUUCCCGGGUCUUGUACACACCGCCCGUCACACCAUGGGAGUCAGUAACGCCCGAAGUCAGUGACCUAACCGAAAGGGAGGAGCUGCCGAAGGCGGGACGGAUGACUGGGGUGAAGUCGUAACAAGGUAUC